UACGGAGGAGGCAAGCGUUAUCCGGAAUUAUUGGGCGUAAAGCGUCCGCAGGUGGCACCUCAAGUCUGCUGUCAAAGACCGGGGCUUAACUUCGGAAAGGCAGUGGAAACUGAACAGCUAGAGUAUGGUAGGGGCAGAGGGAAUUCCUGGUGUAGCGGUGAAAUGCGUAGAGAUCAGGAAGAACAUCGGUGGCGAAGGCGGCUACCUGGACAGAGUCUGACGCUGAGGCACGAAAGCUAGGGGAGCAAACAGG
rnacentral:rRNA from 1 species